rnacentral:rRNA from 1 species
GAUGAACGCUGGCGGCGUGCCUAAUACAUGCAAGUCGAGCGAACAGACGAGGAGCUUGCUCCUCUGACGUUAGCGGCGGACGGGUGGGUAACACGUGGAUAACCUACCUAUAAGACUGGGAUAACUUCGGGAAACCGGAGCUAAUACCGGAUAAUAUAUUGAACCGCAUGGUUCAAUAGUGAAAGACGGUUUUGCUGUCACUUAUAGAUGGAUCCGCGCCGCAUUAGCUAGUUGGUAAGGUAACGGCUUACCAAGGCAACGAUGCGUAGCCGACCUGAGAGGGUGAGCGGCCACACUGGAACGGAGACACGGUCCAGACUCCUACGGGAGGCAGCAGUAGGGAAUCUUCCGCAAUGGGCGAAAGCUGGACGGAGCAACGCCGCGUGAGUGAUGAAGGUCUUCGGAUCGUAAAACUCUGUUAUUAGGGAAGAACAAAUGUGUAAGUAACUAUGCACGUCUUGACGGUACCUAAUCAGAAAGCCGCGGCUAACUACG